ACGAGGACAAGCUGGUCACCCAGCCGCUGCAGGAGAAGCCCUGCCAGAUCCCGGCCAGCGCCAAGUCCACCUUCCUGAUGGCGUUUAGUGGUGACGGCAGCCGGAUCGCCUCCACGCACGGUGACCACAACAUAUACGUGACG